UACAGAGGGGGCGAGCGUUGUUCGGAAUUACUGGGCGUAAAGGGCGCGUAGGCGGCCUGCUAAGUCGAACGUGAAAUCCCCGGGCUCAACCCGGGAACUGCGUCCGAUACUGGUGGGCUUGAAUCCGGGAGAGGGAUGUGGAAUUCCAGGUGUAGCGGUGAAAUGCGUAGAUAUCUGGAGGAACACCGGUGGCGAAGGCGGCAUCCUGGACCAACACUGACGCUGAUGAGCGAAAGCCAGGGGAGCAAACGGG
rnacentral:rRNA from 1 species